CUGGGAAACCUGGGGAUUGAACUCACGGAAAAGGAGCAAGAAAAGCUGCUGAACACCCUGCCAGUUGAUGCUGCUGGAAAGGUUUAUCAGAAUAGGCUGCUGAAGGGUGUGAAGACUCUCAAGGGGGGGAAAGUUCAUGUAAAUAACCUGGACCAUACUCUAGAAAAGUUGGGAAUCGAGCUCAUAGAAGAGGAAUUUGCAAAGCUGUUAGAAAGCCUACAAGUUGAUG